GAUGAACGCUGGCGGCGUGCUUAACACAUGCAAGUCGAACGGAAAGGCCCUGCUUUUGUGCGGUGCUCGAGUGGCGAACGGGUGAGUAUCACGUGUGUAACCUGCCCUUGACUUUGGGAUAACUUCAGGAAACUGGGGCUACUACCGGAUAGGAGAUCCUGCUGCAUGGUGGGGGUUGGAAAGUUGCGGCGGUUGGGGAUGGACUCGCGGGUUACCAGCUUGUUGGUGGGGUAGUGGCUUACCCAGGCUUUGACGGGUAGCCGGCCUGGGAGGGUGACCGGGCUCAAUAGUACUGAGGUACGGCCCAGUCGCCAACGGGAGGCAGCAGGGGGGAAUAUGGCACAGUGAGCGGGAGCCUGAUACGGCAGCGCCGCGUGCGGAAUGACGGCCUUCGGGUAGAGAACCGCUGUCGCCUGUGACGAAGCGGGAGUGACGGUAAUGGAUAAAGAAGCACCGGCUAACUACGUG
rnacentral:rRNA from 1 species